rnacentral:rRNA from 1 species
UACAGAGGGUGCGAGCGUUAAUCGGAAUUACUGGGCGUAAAGGGUGCGUAGGUGGUUUUGUAAGUAACAUGUGAAAGUCCUGAGCUUAACUUGGGGAUUGCGUGUUAAACUGCAGAGCUAGAGUGUUGUAGAGGGUGGCGGAAUUUCCGGUGUAGCGGUGAAAUGCGCAGAUAUCGGGAAGAACACCCGUGGCGAAGGCGGUUCUCUGGGACGGUACUGACGCUGAGACGCGAAAGCGUGGGGAGCGAACAGG